AGAGUUUGAUCCUGGCUCAGAAUCAACGCUGGCGGCGUGCCUAACACAUGCAAGUCGAACGAGAAAGUGGAGCAAUCCAUGAGUAAAGUGGCGACCGGGUGAGUAACACGUGACUAACCUGCCCUAGAGUGGGGGAUAACCUCGGGAAACCGGGGCUAAUACCGCAUAACAUCGCGAGGGGAAGCUCCUUGCGAUCAAAGGAGCAAUUCGCUCAAGGAGGGGGUCGCGGCUGAUUAGCUAGUUGGUGAGGUAACGGCCCACCAAGGCGAAGAUCAGUAGCCGGCCUGAGAGGGCGCACGGCCACACUGGAACUGAAACACGGUCCAGACUCCUACGGGAGGCAGCAGUGGGGAAUUUUGCGCAAUGGGGGAAACCCUGACGCAGCAACGCCGCGUGGAGGAUGAAGUCCCUUGGGAUGUAAACUCCUUUCGAUCGGGACGAUUAUGACGGUACCGGAAGAAGAAGCACCGGCUAACUCUGUGCCAGCAGCCGCGGUAAUACAGAGGGUGCAAGCGUUGUUCGGAAUUAUUGGGCGUAAAGGGCGCGUAGGCGGUGCGGUAAGUCUGUGGUG
rnacentral:rRNA from 1 species